UACGGAGGGGGCUAGCGUUGUUCGGAAUUACUGGGCGUAAAGCGCACGUAGGCGGCUUUGUAAGUCAGAGGUGAAAGCCCAGGGCUUAACCCUGGAAUUGCCUUUAAGACGGCAUCGCUAGAAUCGUGGAGAGGUGAGUGGAAUUCCGAGUGUAGAGGUGAAAUUCGUAGAUAUUCGGAAGAACACCAGUGGCGAAGGCGACUCACUGGACACGUAUUGACGCUGAGGUGCGAAAGCGUGGGGAGCAAACAGG
rnacentral:rRNA from 1 species